UCGUCACACACCAGACCACAAGGGCUGAUGAGACUUCCAAGAUAAGUGAAGCG
rnacentral:pre_miRNA from 1 species